rnacentral:rRNA from 1 species
UACGGAGGAUCCGAGCGUUAUCCGGAUUUAUUGGGUUUAAAGGGAGCGUAGGUGGAUUGUUAAGUCAGUUGUGAAAGUUUGCGGCUCAACCGUAAAAUUGCAGUUGAAACUGGCAUCCUUGAGUACAGUAGAGGUAGGCGGAAUUCGUGGUGUAGCGGUGAAAUGCUUAGAUAUCACGAAGAACUCCGAUUGCGAAGGCAGCCUGCUGGACUGUAACUGACGCUGAUGCUCGAAAGUGUGGGUAUCAAACAGG